rnacentral:rRNA from 1 species
CUACGGGGUGCUGCAGUGGGGAAUAUUGCGCAAUGGGCGAAAGCCUGACGCAGCAACGCCGCGUGAGUGAUGAAGGCCUUCGGGUCGUAAAGCUCUGUCGGGAGGGAAGAACACCUUCGGGUCUGACGGUACCUCCCGAGGAAGCACAGGCUAACUCCGUGCCAGCAGCCGCGGUAAUACGGAGUGUGCAAGCGUUGUUCGGAAUUACUGGGCGUAAAGCGCGCGUAGGCGGCUUGAUAAGUCAGAUGUGAAAUCCCUCGGCUUAACCGAGGAACUGCAUUUGAAACGGUCAGGCUUGAGUACGGGAGGGGGAAGCGGAAUUCCCAGUGUAGAGGUGAAAUUCGUAGAUAUUGGGAGGAACACCAGCGGCGAAGGCGGCUUCCUGGACCGAUACUGACGCUGAGGCGCGAAAGCGUGGGGAGCAAACAGGAUUAGAUACCCGCGUAGUC